rnacentral:rRNA from 1 species
UACGUAGGGCGCAAGCGUUGUCCGGAAUUACUGGGCGUAAAGGGCUCGUAGGCGGCCAACUAAGUCACACGUGAAAUCCCUCAGCUUAACUGGGGAACUGCGUGUGAUACUGGAUGGCUUGGAUUUGGGAGAGGGAUGCGGAAUUCCAGGUGUAGCGGUGAAAUGCGUAGAUAUCUGGAGGAACACCGGUGGCGAAGGCGGCAUCCUGGACCAAUAUUGACGCUGAGGAGCGAAAGCCAGGGGAGCAAACGGG